UUCUGUAUCCAUGCUUCUCUCAUUCAUUCUUUGGAUAUAUUUAGUCUUUUUUUUUUUAUUAUUAUUAUUAUAUGUAUUUGUUCCCAAAUAGUCGUCUUUGGUUGUGUACAAGCUGCUGCCGAAGUUUUUUUGUGUUUCCUCUAGUGUUGAAGUUGUGUGUUUCAGUAUCCACAACCUGAGUAUUACUCUGUCAUAGGGUACAAUAUUCUGAAAUAUCUCUUUGCCCUUCCCAAGAUGAGAAAUUUUGUACAAUUUGGUUACGUCACGUGAUGUUUGCUUUGAUGAUUUGUUAGUUGGUGACAAAAUAACUUUGUUUGGAAAGGUUUUCUAUAAUUUUCUUUUGUUGCUUUUAUGUUGAUUUGUGAUUUAUGAUUAAUGUGAUGAUACUCCUAAGAAGAUAUCCUCUACAUUACAGUGGCCUUAGGACAAGGCUUUGGCGGCAAGGUACACAAUUCAAUCACUUUUCACUUCACUCCUUCUUGAUCACAUAAUGACUUGAGCGUUGGAGUGCUAACAUGUUUUGCAGGUACCUUCCCCACCGUGAUCCACCGUACCAGAAAUCUAAUGCCACCGUAACUGCCUUAAGCCUCACCAUUGGAGUUAUCUCAUUCUGAUCCGGUCAGAACCUUUGUCAUUUCAUAUUGGACGGAGUUUGUUCCAAUGAAUCAUCUCCAACUGGCUUUAAUUUGGUCAUCUUCUUAGACUCUUCACAUUUUCAUUCUUUUGUUGGAUACUCAGCAUCUACUUUGUCAGUUCCUUUGUCUUUUAUGUGUGGGUGUUACAGGAGAGAGAUAACCUAUAAAUCGGUGGUUUGCUGUAGAACCCGUGGCAGGAAGGUUCACAUAUUUACAGUGAAACCGGACAUUUUUUAGAAAUUCUGGACAACUUGGUUUGGAACUUUUAUGUUCAUUUGCCACUUCCUUUGUUAAAAUCAUUUUUCUAUAUUCUUGUAUUCUUGUCAUUUGUGGUAUAUAAAAUAAUCUCAAACAGGUAUCCCUCACAGAAUUUGCAAUUGAAGAACGAACUUGGUAUAGGGAAUGGAACACCGGAAUCUACUCUGACUGAAUUCUUAAUGUUUUUUUGUUUGUUUUGUGGAUCUAGUUUUUUUAUUCCUUUGUCAGUUUGGCAUAGAUUAUCUAUCAAGGGCAUGCUUUUGCUUUGGUGUAACAGGUGGGAGAGGCCAUGAUUGUGUACCGUGGGAUUUGAAAGUUGUCGCGGACUUUAUUAAGGAAAUGCUUUGAGCCUUUGGAUUUAAUUCUGGAAUAAGUGUCCUAUGAUAGUGUCAAUUUUUAAGUUCAGAAUUACGAAUCUAAAUAUUAGGGAGAGCUUCAGCAUUUCAUAUCCAUAUGUUUCUUGAAUAAUCUUAAGCUAUACAAUCUGUUUUGCAGUGAAUUGAAGUUUGAUAACAAGAACGUUUGUAGAUACUUGAUACAAAGGAUAAGAAAGGAGAUUCAAGAUAAAUCAUGUUUCUUCAAUGAGUCAUCGUUUACUAUUUUUAUUUUCGAGCUUUGUUUAUAAGACAUACGAAUUAAAUUGCGAAUAUACUAUUCUGCAGAAUGGUUCGACAAAAUAAUGCUGUUCUUCGUAGCGUAGAGCCUCAAAUUUUGAUUUGGAGAUCUUCAGUAAACUCUUUUCGUUUCAGUGUUUCGAUAUUAAUUUUGAGAGCAUAUAUUUCUUUAUUUAGUAUUUUUUUUAUUUGGAUUUUCAGGAGAGGAUAUCUAUAUAUGAAUGAAGACACAAUUCCUUCUGGUUCUUGUUUAUUAUUUUUUCUAUGGUACUCUGGUCUUUUGAUGUUGAGGUUUGAUUUGGUUAUUGCUGGUUUCGAUCGUGGGGAUUAUUUUUCUUAUAUAUUUUGCAGCGAGCUGAGCUGACCUCUGGAUAUAUGUAACAAUUUGCAAUUAUAAUGGUUAAGGACGAUAAUGGCUACAUAUACAUAAUCAAAUUUCUAGGAUGUGUAAUUCUUAAUUAUUUUUAUUUUUGGGCUUUGAUUGCAAGACAUACAAAUUGAAUUUUUAACUUGUUUUUCUGCAGCGUGGUUUAUCGAAAUCAAAAUAAUAACGAUCUUUCAUCAUAGCAUGAAUUCCCACAAGUUUUGAUUUGCUUAUCUUAUUUAAAAUAUUACUGUAUAGUUUUGUUGCAGGAAGGUCAUUUGGGAACACUUAUUCCUUCUGGAUCUGGUUCUAUCUUUCUUUUGUUUGAUCUUCAUGUUUUGCAUUCUUACAUGUGAAUUUAAAUAUGAUGCUGUUUUCUGCAGUUUAGUGUUUUUUUAAAAAAUAGCAUUCUGUGUAGUAUCAACUAUCAAGCCUCGGAUUGUGAAUUAUUUUCAUUUCUAUUCUUAUUGUCUAGUUGAUUUACUUCUUUGUUCUACAUUUGGCUUUUUUAUCUGAAUUCUGACAGUGCAGAAGUUUACACGAGGAAGUUGGUGGGCAUCUCAUUGUAAUGCUGAUAUGCGACUUGGUUUGAAGAAUUAUGCUACUAUUCUUUCUUCUUUGUUCUUUUUCUUACAACCUAUUUUUCCUAGCGUAAUUUUUUCUGUUAAUGCAUCAUGUGCUGUUGGCAGAGCAAGUUUUACAUGGGUUUGGUGUACCACAGAAGUUUCCUUCUUUCUCAAUCACACUGCACCUUUUUAAUUCACCAUCUGAAGUGGAGAAUAUUGGAGAUGAGUUUCGUUGCCGCUUUGUACACCUUCUGUGAACAAAUUUACAAGGACACAUGAACCAUAAUGUUCUGAUGGACGUGUUAUCUAUUUACUAGGGUGAUCUCUACUCUGAUUAUGAAUUCUUUAUAUUUCGGAAUAAUCGUUUCAGCAUCUAUGCUUCUUGAUUCCUUUGUCAAAUCUUAGGGUUAGGUUAUCACAUACUCCCCCUUUUAUCUUUGAGUGAUACGUAUUUCUUCCAGUGUAGAAGUUUUUGUGUUUUUCUGUAUCUGUAACUUCAGUUUUACUCUCUGGGUACAAGCUUUUGGAGUAAAGCUUCCCUUCCCAAGAUGAAUUUUGGACAACUUGGUAGGCCCUUCAGUUGGGGGGUUUCCUUACCCUAAAUACUAUACUUUCUUACAUAUGCUUGUCCUAGAUUUGUUAUUUGUUUGUAUCAUUCCUGAGAAUCUGUGUAUGUUUAUGUUUUAGUUUUGUGCAGUGUCCCAAGGACUCAUCUGUAUAAUGAGGAUGCCUAAAUUGUGUCAUUUCAUAUUGAUUACAAGUUCUUGCAAAUUGGAAGGAAAAUUGUUCCAUUGAAACAUUUGGUGUGUUGAAUACUCGGCAUCUACUUUUUGCAUUUCCUUUGAGUUUUCUGUGUGGUUAUUAGAUGGCUUAUGAAUGUGUGAUAUGUUGUGUCCUGCCAGUCUUGGUGGUUUUGCGUUUCUGCAUCAAGAAUGUGAGAACCGAAGCGUACAAGAUUCUCUAUAAUAUAUCUUUUCUAUGAUUACUUAAGCGUAUAUCUCUUCUCUGGAUACUUAAGCUGCUUUGGCGCUUUACUUCAUCCAUCAAAUUUUCACUCAGCUUUUUUGAUUGGUGUCUUAGGAUAAAGCGCUAUCCAUAUGUUUCAAAUAUUAUAAAAGACCCGAUCAGGAUUUCUGGGACAUGAGUUUUGUAAUACUCAUUAACAAUCAUUGGCUCUAGUUAAAUCUGGUUUGUUCAUUGAAUUGUUUGGCAUUCAUUUUUUAGGCUUUGAUCUCGCGUGUAAGGUAUCAUGAACCUCUUUUAUGCAUAUUAGUUUGUUCAAAGAAUAAAGUUAUAUGUAAUAUCAAGCCUGUGUAGAACUUCAUAGGGAGACU
rnacentral:lncRNA from 1 species